rnacentral:sRNA from 1 species
AAAGCACCGUGCUUUGUAACAGCAUCAGGGUCGUUGCAGGACCCCCUGAUUACAAUAAAGCGAGAAAGAAGAACUCCUGACUUAAAAACAUGGUAUUCCUUCAGUGUAGGAAGCAGCAGUGAGGUUGUAAUAAAGGCUGCAUUCAAGAAGACCCAUCUGAACAGUGAGUUGGGUUAGCAGAGUGAUGAUUUUUAAUGCUUGUGAGAGCCAGUGUUAGACUGCCGAUUCUGCAUAGAGAGAUCAUCUAAAUGGGCAGAAGCCUGCACAAUUUAUGAAGUGCUGAUUUAACACCAGCCUAUGCAAGGUCUCACUAUGUUGCCCAGGUUGGAGUGCAGUGGCGUAACCUCCCAGGCUCCAUUGAUCUCCCUCCUUAGCCUCCCAGAUAGCUGGGACUACAGAUGGCCCCAAGGGGCUAUACAAAGCUGUUUGCACAGGAUAGAAUUAAGAGCAGCAUGUCAGCGUUCCAUCUGCAGUUCAGAUGUUGAUUCCUCCUUGUAUUGCACAUUGCUGAAAGGGGCUUCCUCAGGCUGGAGGGACCAGUGAGG